rnacentral:lncRNA from 1 species
UUUUUUUUUUUUUCUUUUUUUUUUUUUUUCUGUUUUUCUGUUUUUUUUUCACUGUUCUAGGAGUUGCUUUAAGCUGAACACUGCAGGAUUUAUAACCAGAUAUUUGCUGCCUUUUCCUUUGUUUUAUUUCUUUAAGUCUUUCCUAACCUUUGAGGGUAACUUUUGGAGCAUUCUGAUUGUGGAUCUUGGCCUGCUGUUGGAAGCCUCCAGGCCUCUUGUAUUUCCAGUUUGAGUUGAAAAGUUUUUGUUUUGUUUGUUUGCUUAAACUGAUGACACAAACUAGAUGCGCGGACUUUGGGUGAGAUUUGCUGUUGCUCUACUUUGUGUGACUUAUUCUCCUUUUUUUACAGAAAUGUGUUCUAACAGUUCACACUUUGUUACUGUUCUUUGCAAAACUUUUCAGGAGCCAAAAAAAGUCAAACAAUCCAGAGAAAACCUUCCCUUCUCCCCUUUCUGAUGGCGAGAGUGAGAACUUAUGAAAAGUCCUUGAGAAUGUUCCUUCCUAAACUUUUCCCCUCAGUAAUGCAAGCGGGUAAAAUGGUAAAUGCAGCAGUUUGGUGACAUCCAAACCCGACCUGUUGUCAGACAUACCCACUUCUUGCGUCUCAGCACUGGGCAGGCCUAUUCCUUUAUUUGUGUAUAUUUUUGUGAAUCAGCUGCUAUAGGACACGGGUGUAACACUUUCAGGCAUAGUAAUAAAACUGGUAGGUGGCAGCAGCAGUAGAAGAAACUCAUGUGACUGACCUGGGAAACCUCCGGUACUGUGAAAAAUGGAUUGCAAAAUCUUAACUGAAGUAAGGGGGACGGAGGAGAGAGGCAGAGUCCCUGAACUGUCCCUUUGAAUGAUGUCCUGUUUAUGGUGGAAGCAGUGAUACUACUGACCUCCCUUGAUGCUUAGUUUAUCUGUGUCAUAAAAUGCUUUAAUUUUGGGAAGAAAGGAACUGGAGAGGUAUGGAGGUAUGGAGGAAAACAGUGCUACAUGGACUAAUCAGGAAGGUGCUGUGAAGCAAAGAGAGAAGACAAAGCAGUAGCUGUGUAUGCAGGAAUGUAAUGCUUGUGAAAGAUGCUGGACCAACAAUUGCAGAGAUUGAACUCCUCUACCCACAGGAAAGGUUUUUCUACACCACAGGAGGUCUUCUCUUGUACAGGGACACUUAUCUCUUGAUACCACCUCCUUCACAAUGAAGAAAGGAUGGACCAGCAGCAAUGUGGAAUGGGGUGAUGUCCACACUUGGGGUUAACAGUCAUAAUAAACACUGUGCUGCUAACAUGGAGAAAUGAAUAAAACAAUUUAAUUC